rnacentral:piRNA from 1 species
UCCUGGAGAACAGACCAGCCUAGAAGUC